rnacentral:rRNA from 1 species
UACAGAGGGUGCGAGCGUUAAUCGGAAUUACUGGGCGUAAAGCGCGCGUAGGCGGCUUUGCAAGCCGGAUGUGAAAUCCCCGGGCUUAACCUGGGAACUGCAUUCGGGACUGCAUUGCUAGAGUAUGGGAGAGGGAAGUGGAAUUCAGGUGGUAGCGGUGAAAUGCGUAGAUAUCUGAAGGAACAUCAGUGGCGAAAGCGACUUCCUGGACCAAUACUGACGCUCAUGUGCGAAAGCGUCGGGGAGCAACAGG